ensembl:lincRNA Kantr Kdm5c adjacent non-coding transcript
AGUGGUGGAGCAUCGCUACCCUGCCAGGGUUCGGUGGAGCAUUGCGUGAAGCGUCUGCGUGUCUGCGAGAUCUUGCUGUGGGCCAGGUAUCCAUUCUCCUGCGGCUGCUUAGACCCUACGGAGACUAGAGGUCCGUGGGUGGUGGAGGAUCCUUUGCGUAGCAAAAAAAGAAGGCGAGUGCCCCUGCAUCCUCUCCAGACGGUACCCAGCUCUUAUUUGCAGAACAUCCACCAUUAUUAGAACCAUCACCCUGCAGCUAGCUUGGACAUCCUUAAAAGGGCUCAUCAGAAGUAUCUGAUAUUCAUGAAGACAGAGUUUCAGGGUUUCUGCCUGGAGCUACACCCUCCAGGAGCCCCUGCUUGGCUUCCCCUGCACCCAGCCCCAUCCCAACCUGUUACAACUUGGGCUGUGCAUGGUGUUUCUUGGAAACUGGAACACAGACUCC